GGAAUUAAAAUGGAGGCUGCAAUGAUAUGACUUCAAUUUAAUAGAGUUGAGCACUCAGAAACUCUGCUUUUCCAUAAGAAGCAUGUCUCCACGGCAUAGACUCUCAAGAUCUCAACUUUCCCACUCGUUUAUUGGAAGAAGGUACCAUCUGUAAAGGAAUUAAUUUUUCUUCACUGCACCAGACUGGCUGUUUAAAGUCUGUGAUAGCAGACUGGGAAGCAGGAGAAAGAUGCUUUCUCUGAAGGUCUCAGCAACAACAUUUCCCUUGAUUCUCUCCUGCCCACAAGAUACCGCUUUCUGGAAUAAUAAUUUUGUGGCUUCCACCAGCAGACACAUAGGCUAUUGCUUCCAAUCUCUCAUCUAAA